AUAAAGCCAAUUGGAUCUUCAGAUUUACUCAGCCAGAUUUUUGUUCUUUAACAGGAUCUGUGACAAGAGAGGCUGGUGUGGAAACUGGACAUGAGGGAAGCUGAGACGAUGAAGCCCUCUGGUAGUGCGCGUCGCUCAAAUGCUUUCAGAGGCCAUGGCGCAGUGGAUAACCUAGAGAUCUGCAAAGGGCCUAGUUGGAGCAGCCAUUUUGCCAUUCAAGAAUGUAGGCCCAGCAAGGCCAGACAGAGAUCACACAAGUAAGCAGAGAGGCAGGGAGAGAGAAAGGAG
rnacentral:lncRNA from 1 species